rnacentral:rRNA from 1 species
ACUACGGGUGGCAGCAGUGGGGAAUAUUGCACAAUGGGCGCAAGCCUGAUGCAGCCAUGCCGCGUGUGUGAAGAAGGCCUUCGGGUUGUAAAGCACUUUCAGCGGGGAGGAAGGCGGUGAGGUUAAUAACCUCAUCGAUUGACGUUACCCGCAGAAGAAGCACCGGCUAACUCCGUGCCAGCGGCCGCGGUAAUACGGAGGGUGCAAGCGUUAAUCGGAAUUACUGGGCGUAAAGCGCACGCAGGCGGUCUGUCAAGUCGGAUGUGAAAUCCCCGGGCUCAACCUGGGAACUGCAUUCGAAACUGGCAGGCUAGAGUCUUGUAGAGGGGGGUAGAAUUCCAGGUGUAGCGGUGAAAUGCGUAGAGAUCUGGAGGAAUACCGGUGGCGAAGGCGGCCCCCUGGACAAAGACUGACGCUCAGGUGCGAAAGCGUGGGGAGCAAACAGGAUUAGAUACCCGGGUAGUC